UUGUCAUGUUAUACCUCUCAGGAAGGUUAAUGUGAAAAUGCGGGCCGGUGUUGCGAGCACCGGCCUGUGUGUCU
rnacentral:sRNA from 1 species